UAUCUUAGUGGCGGACGGGUGAGUAACGCGUGGGUAACCUGCCCCAUACCGGGGGAUACCACCUGGAAACAGGUGCUAAUACCGCAUAAGCGCACGGGAGCGCAUGCUCCUGUGUGAAAAACUCCGGUGGUAUGGGAUGGACCCGCGUCUGAUUAGCCAGUUGGCAGGGUAACGGCCUACCAAAGCGACGAUCAGUAGCCGGCCUGAGAGGGUGGACGGCCACAUUGGGACUGAGACACGGCCCAAACUCCUACGGAAGGCAGCAG
rnacentral:rRNA from 1 species